rnacentral:rRNA from 1 species
AGGACGAACGCUGGCGGCGUGCCUAAUACAUGCAAGUCGAACGAACUGUGGAAAGCUUGCUUUCAGAGUUAGUGGCGAACGGGUGAGUAACACGUAAGUAACCUAGCUAUUAGACGAGGAUAACUACUGGAAACGGUAGCUAAGACUGGAUAUGAUAGAAAUAUUUAAAGGAUGCUAAGGCAUCGCUAAUAGAGGGGCUUGCGGCGCAUUAGCUAGUUGGUAGGGUAAAAGCCAACCAAGGCGAUGAUGCGUAGCCGACCUGAGAGGGUGACCGGCCACACUGGGACUGAGACACGGCCCAGACUCCUACGGGAGGCAGCAGUAGGGAAUCUUCGGCAAUGGACGGAAGUCUGACCGAGCAACGCCGCGUGAGUGAAGAAAGUUUUCGGAUUGUAAAGCUCUGUUAUUAGGGAAGAAAGGCUCUAGGAGGAAAUGCUUAGGGAUUGACGGUACCUAAUGAGGAAGCCACGGCUAACUACGUGCCAGCCGCUGC